rnacentral:rRNA from 1 species
ACCGGGAAUCGUAGACAAUGGGCGAAAGCCUGAUCUCGCGACGCCGCGUGGAGGAUGAAGGCCCUCGGGUUGUAAACUCCUUUUAUCGGGGAAUAAGGUCCCGCUUCGCGGGACUUGACUGUACCCGAUGAAUAAGUCGCUGCCAACUACGUGCCAGCAGCCGCGGUGAUACGUAGGCGGCAAGCGUUACCCGGAUUUACUGGGCGUAAAGAGUGCGCAGGUGGUCUGGUAAGUUUUCGUUAAAAGCUAAAGGCUCAACCUUUGGAUCGCGUAAAUACUGCCAGACUUCGAGAAAGUCAGGGGGUACCGGAACAGAUGGUGUAGCAGUGAAAUGCGUUGAUAUCAUCUGGAACACCCAAGGCGAAGGCAGGUACCUGGGGCUUUUCUGACACUGAUGCACGAAAGCGUGGGGAGCGAACGGGAUUAGAUACCCGAGUAGUCC